UAUAUCUUUGUUUGUAUAUAAAAAUUAAUAGGUUAAUUCGUAGGUAUAAUCACGUGAUAUACGUAAGAUAUCACAUUACGUGUGUGUCCUCGAAAGUGUUCACUCAUACCAACCAAUCAGCGCUCUUCAAAAUUCGUACGUGCUGCUCAAGAUUGAAAACGAAGCUUUGUCAUCUCGUUAAUUACAGUUUUCCAAGAAAUGUAUGAAUUGAGAGAUUACGCAGUUACGCUAAGAAUUCUAUCAACAGUAUCGCAUGGAACGUAUACAUUAAUCAAUGAUUCAUCGAUUCUACACUUUAAUAAUUCAAUCUACUUCACGAUAACAUUCGAUCUAUUACGAGGGAGUCGAGUGUUUUGGAGCCAUCGCAGAACUUCUUAAGUAGUAAGUGCAAAAUUAAAAAUUUCUCUGAGGCCCAUCAUGCCGAUAAUGAAAGGUCAAUAUUAUAAUCUAUUUAUAUCACAGGGAGCACUGCUUAAUGUAAUAAAUGUUAAUUUUAUCUUUAAUAUUUCGUAUUGCAUUAUUUUUUC